CCUCCUCGGAGCCCCCCUCCCCUUCCAGGAAGGAUGCGGCGGCGCCGUGCGGGAGCCCGAGGAGGCUGAGCGGCGAUGUCCCACCUCCUCCUCCUCCUUUUCCUGCCUCCUCUUUCGCCGGAGAAGGAGCGCGCGGGAGAAGCCGGCCAGCCCGCCGCCCCGAUGCUGCCGGAGAGCCCUUCGGAGGGAGCGGCCAGGAUUCCUCCUCCUCCUCCUCCUCUUGCCUCCCAUUCCCUCCGGGCUCCCACCCUCCUUCCCAGGAAGCCCGGGGCGAGAGGGGGGCGUCCGGGAGGCGCGUUUUCUCCCGCCCCGGAGGCGCCAUGACCUGCUGGGCUCCGGAUUGGCACCCUUCGCCUUCUUCAUCUUCCUCCUCUUCCUCGCCCGCUCCUCCUCCUCCUCCUCCUCCUCAGCCCAGCUUCGGGGAUCGGAUGUCAUCGGCCAAGACCCAGGAGCAGGAGCGGCUCCCUUAAAAUGAAGGCGGCGGGUCCGGGGCGAGGCUGACGGGGUCUUCGGGGAGGCGCCCCUCUCGCCCGCGGAUGGAGCUUCCCGGCCGGGAAGAGGGAGGAGGAGGAGGCGGCGGCGGAGGAGGAGAAGCGCCGGCGUCACCACGGACGGAGCCGAACCAGGAGAGACCCGCCAGCCCUGCCUUGCAGCGGGAGCCUCUUUAGUUUUAUAAUCCAUCACAACCAUGAAGUCUCCAACAACCGAUCCACCCCGUAAAAGAAGGAUGCUGUGGAUUAUUCUUCUAAGCACAAUUGCUGUAGCAUGGACUACCCCUAUUCCCUUGAUAGAAGACUCGGAGGAAAUUGAGGAACCUUGCUUUGAUCCCUGUUACUGUGAAGUCAAAGAAAGCCUUUUUCAUAUACACUGCGACAACAAGGGAUUUAUAAAUAUUAGUCAGAUAACGGAGUCGUGGUCAAGACCUUUCAAACUUUACCUGCAGAGAAACUCUAUGAGGAGAUUAUAUACCAACAGUUUUCUCCAUUUGAACAAUGCUGUUUCUAUUAACCUUGGGAACAAUGCAUUACAAGACAUUCAGAUAGGAGCCUUUAAUGGGCUCAAAAUUCUGAAAAGAUUGUACCUGCAUGAGAACAAAUUAGACAUUUUCAGAAACGAUACUUUCCUGGGAUUGGAAAGUCUGGAAUAUCUGCAGGCAGAUUAUAAUGUCAUUAAGCGGAUUGAAAGUGGGGCAUUUCGAAAUCUCAGCAAACUUCGGGUCCUUAUCUUAAAUGACAACCUUAUUCCCAUGCUGCCCACCAAUUUAUUUAAAUCUGUGUCUUUAACUCACUUGGACUUGCGUGGAAACAGAUUGAAAGUGCUUUCCUACCGAGGAAUGCUGGACCAUAUUGGCAGGAGCUUGAUGGAAAUCCAGUUGGAAGAGAAUCCUUGGAACUGUACUUGUGAAAUUGUUCAGCUAAAAAGCUGGCUUGAGCGCAUCCCUUAUACUGCCCUUGUGGGAGACAUAACCUGUGAGACUCCUUUCCACUUCCAUGGUAAGGACCUGAGAGAAAUUAAAAGAAAUAAACUGUGCCCUAUGCUAUCUGACUCAGAACUGGUCAGCAUUGGUGUUCCUCAGCUGCCAUCGAGCAAGGAGAAUGCAUGGCCUACUAAGCCUUCUUCCAUGUUGUCCUCCUUCCACUUCACUGCUUCCUCUGUUGAAUACAAAACUUCUAUUAAACAGCCCAAACCUACAAAACAGCCCAGGGCACACAAGCCACCCCCUACACCUCGAGGCCUGUACCCUGGGCCCAACCAAGCUCCUGUUGCUGCGUAUCAGACUAGGCCUCCUAUCCCCAUCAUAUGCCCUACUGGCUGCUCCUGCAAUUUGCACAUCAAUGAUUUGGGUCUAACUGUUAACUGCAAGGAAAGAGGGUUCCACAAUAUUUCUGAGCUCCUUCCCAGACCUGUCAAUGCCAAGAAAUUGUACCUGAGUGGAAAUUUGAUACAGAAAAUUUACCGUUCAGAUUUCUGGAAUUUUUCUUCCUUGGAUCUCCUGCAUCUUGGGAACAAUCGAAUCUCCUAUGUGCAGGAUGGGGCUUUUAUUAAUCUGCCCAAUUUAAAGAGUCUGUACUUAAAUGGCAAUGACAUCGAGAAGCUGACUCCAGGCAUGUUUAGAGGUUUGCAGAGCUUGCAUUACCUGUACUUCGAGUACAAUCAGAUCAGGGAGAUCCAGCCUGCCGCCUUCAGUCUCAUGCCCAACCUGAAGCUGCUCUUUCUCAAUGACAAUCUUCUGAGGACCCUGCCUACUGAUGCCUUUGCUGGCACCUCCUUGGCCAGGCUCAACCUGAGGAACAACAAAUUCCGGUACUUGCCUGUGGCUGGUGUGCUGGAACACCUCAAUGCCAUUGUACAGAUUGACCUGAAGCUCAACCCUUGGGAUUGCACAUGUGACCUAGUGCCUCUCAAGCAAUGGAUUGAGACCAUCAGCUCUGUCAUUGUUGUGGGGGAUGUUCUUUGUGCCAGCCCAGAGAACCUCACCAACAGAGAUAUACGCUCUGUGGAGCUGGAGAUGUUGUGCCCAGAGAUGUUGCAUGCUGCCGCUGCCUCACCAGCCCCUCCAGCGUUGGGCCACCCCAGCCCCACAAGUCCCUCACCUUAUGAGCUCCCUCCAGAUGGAGGAGGUCCGGUCCCUCUCUCUGUGCUCAUUCUUAGUCUACUCGUACUGUUCUUCUCUGCAGUCUUCAUUGCUGCGGGCCUUUUUGCCUUUGUCCUACGCCGACGGCGCAAGAAGCUACCUUUCCGGAACAAGCAGAGGCAGGAGGCCCUUGACUUAACAGGCAUCCAAGUGCAAUGCCACCAUCUAUUUGAGGAGGGAGGAGGUGGAGGAAGUGUGGGAAUUAGUGCUUCCCCAGAGAAGGCACCCCCAGUUGGCCAUGUCUAUGAUUACAUCCCACACCCAGUGACCCAGAUGUGCAACAAUCCCAUUUACAAGCCACGCGAAGAGGAUGAAGUGGUAGCAGAGGAGCCUGGGCAAGCCGGGGACAUGCUUCUGGGAGGCGGAGGUGGCAGCUGUGCAGGGGAACAAUUUGCUGACCCUGCCAAGGACAGCGGGAGCAGUAGCUGCUAUAGGACCUUGCUGGAGAAAGAGAAGGAGUGGAGGUUGGCUGUGUCCAGUUCACAACUUAACACCAUAGUGACCACCAACCAUCACCCCCACCCUCACCCCCAUCCCCACCCACCUGGAGGGGGAAUUGGUGGAGGGUUGCCUCUCAUGGGGGAAUUAGCGCUGGUGCCACCUGUCUUCCAUCAUGAGAAGAAUGGUGGGGUGGUGCUGUUUCCUCCUAGUGGUGCCGUUCUAGACAGCAGGGAGAGGCCACCCUUAGCCCCUCCGUGCACAGUGGGCUUUGUGGACUGCCUCUACGGCACAGUGCCCAAAUUAAAGGAACUGCACGUCCAUCCCCCUGGCAUGCAAUACCCAGACCUGCAGCAGGACGCCAGGCUGAAAGAAACCCUGCUCUUCUCGGCUGGUAAGGGCUUCCCAGACCACCACCAACCCCCCCAAAGUGAAUACCUCGAGUUAAGGGCCAAACUCCAAACCAAGCCGGAUUACCUCGAAGUCCUGGAGAAGACCACUUAUAGGUUUUGAAAAUGUCUAGCUUUUACCGCCAAAUCCUAGCCCCCAGCCCCUCCACACACCUUCCUUGGUCCCAAUCCUCUCCUCUCCCCUUCCUCUCCCCAGACCACCGCAUGCUGAUACUAGAGGAUACAGCUCUGUGCUUUCCCCCUGCCAGAUGUUGGUUUGGAGGAGGGGCCCAACUCUCAGAUGAUCAUUAAUCGAUAAAAGUGCCUUUGCAGACUUUUGCCAGCAGAUGUUAAUCAAUCAUUAUUUUUUAUACUGAAAAAGAAAAAAAACUUGAGACUUUGACUGUGCCAUGUUGUCUAAGGUAUAGAAUAUUAUUAUAUUAAUUAGUAUCAUGGGGGAUCUUCAUCUCGAUCCUGACAAAGUAAAUUCAUUGUGUAUUGCGCUAUCUCUCUCUUGCGUGCGCGCUUUUUUUUCCCUGCUGUAGGGCUUUUUUAAAAAACAAAACAAAACAGAAAAUACAAAUCUUUCCGUUCAUCUUUUUUAUGUUGGGGGGAGGGAGUCGAACUUAAAGACAGCAUUCUUUUGUGGCUUUGUUUCUUCUUUCCCUCACCAUGGCACAGAUUUCUGUACAUUGAUUUAAAAGAAAACAAAAGGGGAAAGGGAAAUAACAACAAAAAUGCAGUUUGCUGCAUGUCUGGAAACUGCAGUAGGGGAGGGGGGUCUUUUUUGAAUGUUCUCACUCUCAUGUCUCUCUCUCUUUCUCACCUCCAUGCACACAGAUCCACAGAUCCCCAGUUCUAAAUUCUCAUCCCUCCCCUGUCUCCUUCAUAGCCAUUCCAGUUUGCCUGCACCCUUUCUGUUCUCCUCUCUCUGUCCCUUUCCCUUUAAAUGGGUGCCACAGUAAAUUCUCCUUCCUUUUGCCGAAGUGAGACUAGAGACUCACUGCUUACCGGAAAUCUGCUUCUUAAGUGAAGAGAUCCUUUAUUUGUUCAAUCUUGUGGCUCCCUUACACUAAAGGAAAGGUCAUUAGCAUUUUGUUAAAUGGGGCCGGGAGAGGGGGGAUUGGAGGAUAUCUGCCUUUAUAAUUAAAGUGACUCCAGCAUAAUAACAACAUACAGGUGGGGGAAGGAAAAGAAAACUUACUGGGUGCCUAUCACAGGCAUUUCUAUUGAAGAAACACUGUUAACAUUAUCUCUCUCUCUCUCUUCCUUGCUCACACACACAAACAGCCACACACAGAAAUUCAAAUGUGCAUAUAUUUAUUCUGUACUUUCAAGUGAAUAUAAAUUGUAAAGGUAAUGUUUAAUCAUUGUACAGUGAUGCGUCUGGUAUAGCUUUCUUAAUAAAACAUUUUGGAAAAAAAUAGAUAUAUACUAGAAUAUAAAAAGCUUGAAUCUUAAAACUUCAGCUAUACCCUUCUACCGAUGCCUCCUUUCUUUUUCUUUAAGCCCCAUGCUAUUUUAUUAAUACUAGCAGAACCCACUAUGACGCUUAACAGAAUAUAAUAACAAAAAUAACAAUUUGCUCAUUUUUUUGUUCUUCCAAAAUACUAUUCUGGAAUUUGAAAUUAAUUUCCAACCUCCCUCUUUCUCUAUCCUCUCUCCCUCCUUUGUUUUCCCAUUUUUAUUUGUUAUGCUUUUAACUUAGUAAGUUUGUCAUCAUAAAUGGAAAUAUGCAAUAUAAUAAUUUUUUUUUAAAAAAAUGAUAAUUUUACUCUUAGGCUUUUUUAUGUUCCAUUGUAAGGAUAUGAGAAAAAAAAUGGUGGAAAUCUCUCUUCCCCUUCCCCCACCCAGGGCAGUUUAAAUUGGGUAGAGUAUUUAAAAAUGCAUAGAAAGAAAUGUGUUUCUUGAUAGAGGGGUACAGGAUGGUGGGUAUAAGCUGUAUAUCUUUUUAGAAAGCACUGGUUUGGCAUGUUUUGUAUGAUACCUAAAACAAUUGAGAAAAUUAGGCCUAAUACCACAGAUUCAGCCUUUUGGUUUUCCCACUUGUUUUACUGAGAUGUGGGCUGAGGAUAAGAUGAUGAAAUGGUUUUUCCUUUGUGUGGUGUGGAGUUUUAAUUUAUUGUUUUUCUUUCUGUCUUUUUCUUUCCUUCCUUCCUUCCUUCCUUCCUCCUUUCCUUUCCUCCUUCCUUUUAUUUGGCAGUUGAUAUGAUGUUGCUUAAUUGACUGGUUAGAGAGUGUUAUAUUUUAAUGGUUUUGGUUAGAGUGAAAAACCAAAGAAGAAUGGGAGGAUUGUUUGUUUAUUUCAUUCCUUUCCAAGGUAUCUAGCUGGUAUCUUGUUUCUUGUAGAACUGGGUUGACACAUGAAUAGAGCCGAAGGAAAAAGCUUUGUUUGGUGGAGGAAAAACAUCCAGUAUGGCCAGUAGAUGGCGUCCGAGCUCCAGCAAUUGCCGCACAGAGACCAGAGGUUACUUUUGAAUUGUGCACAGCCCAUCCGGUGCUUUCCGCUUGGACUCCUGAAUCUGCCCUUAAUAGAAAAUCAUCACGUUGAAUGUAAUUCACCAGACGUCACUAAUGCCUUACAUCGAGAUAGAGAUCAAAUUAAAGGGGAAAUGUGGAUAUUAGCUCCUUUCGUGUGUACAGAUGUGAUGGGGCAAAAUCCAUAUUCUGAAGAUUUCAAGCAAUGAUUUUUAUAUUUAUAUAGAGAUAGAAAUAUACACACCUACAGAAAGAGAGGGAAAUGUAUUUAAAAAUAAACUAAAUUUUAAAAAAUCUAUUUAUUUGUCUUACUAAAAAAAUGUUAUCCAGGGAAAAUGAAAUGUUUUUACUGCAGAGGAAUGAAAAGAAACUACAGCUGCCUCCAAUGCUCUUGUAUCAUACUGUGGUUGUUAUUAGUUUUGUUAAGGAAUCACUGCAUAAAUGUCAGCUUUUGGAACAAAAUAAGAAUUUAUCCAAGUCAUAAUGUCAUAUAUGUGCUAAUCACGCCUAUUGGAAACAGUUUGUUCAUUUUUAAAUAAUAAAUAUUUUUAAAAGCUGGUAUACACAUAAGACACACAGAAGCACCCAUCCCCACAUCUGUCAUGAUCCAGAAAUCAGUACAAACAAAACCUUUGACCUUGAUUUAGUUUAUUUCCAGAAUGUCUGAUCUUUGCCAGCUAGAGAUUCACAACAAACAUGCCUCACUUGCUGCAGUAGAAUUAAACAUUUAAGCUCCACUGACUGACCCAGACUGUAAGUUUGAAAUUGUCAAAUUUAAGUAAAAGCUUUCUAAUAUGCUUUGUAUACAGGGCACACCAAACUGAGAUAAGGCCACACAUAUGGCUGAAAAUCUCCACAAAAUGUGAGUGUUUCUUACACUGUGGCCAUAAUCAGGACUGGAUUGGCUAUUAUGCAAAUUUUGUUAUAACGGGGAUCUAGCCACACUAGAUGCCUUGUAUUCAAGGACUCAGAGAGAUGAAUGGACCUAUGUUUGAAUGCAGGCUCAGGCCAUUGGUCCUUCUAAUCCAGUAUUUUCUAUUCUGCAGCCAUUCUCCAGGCUUUCCCCCACCCUACAUAUCAAGAUCACUGGAUUUAUGAGAGAUUGAACCUGGAACCUUCUGCAUGCAAAGCAUGUAGAUUACUGAAGACCUAGUCUCACCCACAAAAGCACGUUCAGACGGGGAUUCAGUGGAGCUUGUGUUUGUUGUAUAGCCUAUAAUGUCUGCUGACCUCACAAGGAUGGUAUGGCAGUCAGUGAAGGCUGAAGCCUCUUUUUGAAAACAAACAAGCAUUGCUGCUGCUGUUGUUUUAUCCUUCACUCUCAGACUCUCAGCAUCAAAUAUAACAUUAUCCACAGGGCUAAAUUAUUGUCUGGUGGCAAUAUUCAAAUAAUACAUUGAUUUGGCUGACAGGAGAAGAAUCUGGUUUUUAUUUUAUUCUGUCAGCAGUUUUGUGUAUUGAUUGACAGUUGAAUGAUGGAAUGUUGCCAGAGAUGGACUCUACUCUGCUUUUAUUUUGUUUUUUAAAAAAGGUCUUUCCCUCAACAUGGAAAAACCAGAUUGGCAAGGAUCUUCAGACCAUUAAAAUUCAUAGAGGGAAAAUAUUUUUCAUCCUUCCUUCCUCCCCUUCCUCCUCCCCUUUCUUCUUAAUUAGCAUUGUUUUGCUUCCAUCCUUGCUUGUUCCCUUGUUCAUGUCAUGGACAGCUUGGAAAAUAUGGAUGAGGAGAUACUGCUGGAUGGCUCAGCAGUAGAGCUGGAGCUCAGUAGGUCCCUCAGCCAAGCUUUGAAGCAACAUCCAUGAACGGAGCUACUACUCAGCCUGUUGAACAAGUACAAGUUAGUUCCUCUGAGAAGGCUGAGGAAGAGCUAACUGUUCCAACUUUUAUGGACAUGUAAAAAGAGAGGCCUCUCCUGUACAGGUCAUUGGGAUUACCUGAGAAGAGAGCCAACAACAUGUAGCACCCGUAAAUCUAGGAUUUAAGGAACUGAAGACUGGUACCUGGUUGCUGGCUGCAUUGUCAGUUCUAGAAGCUAUCACCCUGGACUCUUGAUAUCUUGUGCUUCCUGAACACUGGACAUACCUUGGAUAUCGACUUAUGUUGUACUUUGGACACUCUGGUAAUGAGCUCAUGACCUUGGAACUGACAUUUCCAUUGUUUUCUUGUGUUAUUCUGUUAAUUAUUGCAUUUCUGUUGAAAUAACAGCUUGACCUUGGACUAUUAAUGUAUUCUCUGCUGGUAUUUAGAGGUCAAGGCUUUGAUAGUUCUUUGAACUGGUAAUAAAACAAUCUAGAUCAAGGAAUUCAUCACAUGAGGCAUUACAACUGGACAGUCACCAUAGGUGAUGGACCUUAUUACUUGAUGCUGUAUGCAGUGGGUCCAUUCCACUUCUGUGCUGACACACUGGCAGUAAAGUGAUGUUGGGGAUGGAAUUCUCCUUAACUCUUGCUCACUACUCCCAAGAUGCCAGUUUUCUGUUUAUUUUAGAUUUUAUAGUUAUACCUAUCUUUUUGUAGCUGCUUUUUAAAACUGGAAUAUCAAAAUUCCUCUAAAAUAAAAAUUAAACAAUUACAGUAUAGCAGUAUUGCAGAUAUGCAGAGUUAUAAGGAUAUGCAAAAGUACAAUAAUGGGACCAAGAAUUGUGAAAUGUUGGCAAGUGUGUGAUUGAAGAAAGGUGCAACAUCGAAGGUACUCAUCGUGGUAUGAUAGCCAGACUGCAGUGGAAUAGCGGACUUAUGCAACAAAGUUCAUAAUAUCAUUCGAUUAUACAUUAUCAAACAUGGUCUUAUAACUUUAAUAAUAACUUUAUUCUUAUAUCCUGCCCCAUCUCCCCGAAGGGACUCGGGCGGUUUACAUGGGGAACCAAGCCCAGUGGAACAAAAAUUAAAAUACAUCACCAUAAAAUACAUUUACAUUACAAGGCAUAACCAAAAAACAUGCAAAACAUCAUAAAAAACAUAAACCCGAGAACAACUGAUACCAGUAGCUGAGCCCAGUAAAUAUGGUAUUCAAGUCAAUAAGGAGUUGGCUUGUAAUAUAUUUGGAUAAGAGCAAAGGAAAUUCAUUUUAAAUGGGAAAUCUUGCCCAUUUCUAUAUAGAAUAUACAUCCUCUUUCUUCUUGUUUACAUUUUACCACUGAAAUUAAGGCUAUUUCUUCCACAAGGAACAUACAGAGAGCUUUUUUGGAAACCACUGUUCUGUCAAACAAUGCAAGUUUUUAAAUUAAAAUAGUCCAUCACACACCAUGCUUGGAGCAACGGGUUAUGAGCUUCUUAAUUUCAUUGGGAUCAUUAUAAUCUAAUAGUUUAUGAAAAUACAAAAAUUAAAAUAAAACAAUGCUGUGUGUUACCAAAGUAUGGCAGAGUUUUCUCUGUUAGGAUUUCCCGAAUGUGUUGCAAUACAAAGUAUUCUCUCAAGGAGUCUCUAGAUCAUAGGAGUCCCUCGAAUUAUCACAAUACAUUGCGCCUGAGUGUAUUGAGACAAAACUGCAUUUGGAAUGUAAUUAAAUCUCCAUAUUAAAAUAGAUUAAAAUCACCCAUCAAACUACCCAUUUAGUUUAAGAAAGUUAUUCAGCAUCCACAAUAGAAAAUUAAAUGGAUUAGUUUAUUAGAAAACAGGUAAGUUCAAAAUUUGAUUCCAAACUUCAUAUUAUAAAUUGGCUAUAUGUUGUUGUUUUCCAGCUAAAAAGGCAGUCCACAGGGAUGUAGUCAGAUCCGAAAGAGGGUCUAGAUGGAUAGUUAAUCCUUCUCUUCUAGCUGUUAGCUCAAAAUCACUGAUCCAAACUGCUUUCUACUUUCUACAAAUCCAUAGACUGAAAGUGGUUUACAAACUCAAGGGUUUUUAAAAAACUUUUAUUUAAUGCAUCUGAAUCUAUGUUUAUUUUACAUCAAUUUCAGAUGGUUUGUGGAGGAAUUUUUUCAUCUCCAGGCUUGACUCCUCCAAUUCCCCCUUUUUUUGUUUCUGUUAAUUUAGAGUCUUGGGGGUGCACUUUCCUAACAUAAAAACAGUAAUUCCAAAAGUUUCCAGGAUCAGAAAAAUUAUCAAGACAAAAAUGGCCCCUGAAUCAUAGCCUGCAUAAAACCUGUUUUAAAACUAUAAUUGUUCAGUUUAUGAAUAGUUUUGAACAUAACACACUUUGACAUUACUCUAUGAUGAUAUGCACAGAUAUGUGUCACUGCUUCAAUUGCUAUUCUGUAUUCAUAUAGGAUGCCAUGGAAACUGAAGCAGGUCAUCUUGAAUUAACUUUAAGUAUUGCAAGUGUGGUAGGUAAAGAUGGAUUGUGCUCACACAGGUCUAAAUCCAUUUGUUAAUCCCUUCUAAAGUAGACAUGUUGAAUAAAUGGAAACUUGCUAAAUCAA